GUGCUUGCUUCGGCAGCACGUAUACUAAAAUUGGAACCAUACAGAGGAGAUUAGCAUGGCCCCUGUGCAAGGAUGAUAUGCAAAUUCGUGAAGCAUUCCAUAUUUUU
rnacentral:snRNA from 1 species